UCCCUCAUGAGCAGACCGUACCGAUAACCGCAUCCGGACUCCGAGGUGAAUAGCCUCUGGUCAAUGGGGCAAUGUGACCAAGGGAAGUCGGCAAAAUAGAUGCGUAACUUCGGGAGAAGCAUUGGCUCCAAGGGCUGGAUGUCCGAAAGCUG
rnacentral:rRNA from 1 species